UGGUCGGGGGUGACAUCACAGGGCAGGCCUUGGGGGACAGUCUGGACUCCUCAUGGGUUUCGGCCUGUGGGAGAGGGCGGCACAGUGUUUCUCAGCUGGGGCAGCCAUGGGGAGAGGUUAGGGGUCAUUUUCAAAAUGAGAACAUGACCCCAGGGUUUUAGACUGGGGAAAUGACAGUAAGAGCACUAGGUCACACGAAGCGUCCCUCUGCCAUGUACUCAUUCGUGCAGCAGACACUUGGGCUCCUUUACAUACUGCUCGUUGUUCCUAGCACAGAACACGCAGGGAGUGACACACGGUCCCGAUCUUUGGGACUUCCCAUGGCAGGGGAGGGAGGGGGUGGUAAAUAAAAUACCGGUUGGGGGCCAGAGCGUGUUAAUCAGGGCAAGCACCCCGACAUGCACUGCAGAGACUACCAAGCCGCAGAGCAGCCUUGGGCCCCGAGUGGCCUGAGGGCAACGCCUGUAUCCUCUGCUGAGACUCAGUCCUCCUCUGCAGCCACACCUCCCUUCUCUCCGUCCCAAGAUUCUCCUGCACCUGCUGUCCCCUAAGUCUCCCAACAAGAGGUCGCUUCAUCAGUGGCAGCUCGCAUGUCCUCAGAGUGGCCUCCCUGGCCCUGGAGUUACCAGGCCCCGCUGGCCCUUCUGUCCCCCUCCUGGAGUAGCAGUCACACACGCCAGAGUCAGACACCACGGUCACAUUGCCAGUGAUGUGGGAAUGGAAGUAGAGUGUGUACUUGAGGGUCAAGGUGGCCUAAUAGGGGCCUCUACCCCUGUGCCUCUGGUGGGAUGGGGCUGUUCAGGGCACCCUGGAAACCAUGGUCCCCACAUAGCAACAUGGGGCAGGGCCAGUGGCUCCCUCCCCAUCAGGGACACAUGCAUAGACAGAGGUGAGGCUGGCACCCAUGGCUCACCCCCACCCAGCUCUCAUCUCAAAAGUCACCCCAAAGCAGUCAUUCUUUGUCACAUCAACCACUUUUUUGUGUGACAGUGUGUCGUGUGGGGGGGUACUAGGGAGUGAACCCAGAGCUUUGCACUGAGCUACAUCCCUGGCCCUUUUUAUUUUUUCAGAUAAGGUCUCCCUAAGUCCCCAGGCUGCCCUCAAAAGUGUUCUCCUCCUCCCUCAGCCUCCUGAGUAGCUGAAAUUACAGGCACACCCCAUCGUGCCUAUCACAGGACUCAGUUCUAUGCAUAUUUUAAAAAAUCUUGUGCACAUUUCUAAAUAUCAUUUGAGUUUCUUGCCCAAUGAGAACAUGAACUCUUGGUGGGCAGGGCUGCUCACCUCUCUUGCACAGGUACCAGGAAUGGCGCCUGGCAUCAGCAGAAAGAGUAAACCCAGCCCACGCGCCUCAAAGUCCUUCUCCCCAAGCAGGGUGGAAGUCCAUCUCCAUGGUCUGUGGCUUCUCCGAGGCCUCGUGCGGUAGGGGUAGGGAUAAUUCUAGGUUGAUCUAGACAUGAGCCAAGGAAGGAACACUGACUGCAGCCUGCCAUGUGCUGGUGUGGCCCUCAGCCCCUGCUGGGCUCCAGCUUCAAGUGUGGGUCCCACGCUGAAGGCCAAAGGCCGGCCUGCUGCCUCUCCAGGGAGUUUGGCCAGGGACCCACCCUCCUCCUUCCUCAGAACCCUGCUCUACCCUAGGGCCAGUGAGCUCUGGCGGGAGGCAAAUGGUCCUCAAGGAAGUUGCAGAGAAACACUGAAGGCAGUGCCCCUUCACCCCACUCUUCCCCUGCCUCCUGCUGUGUGGAGGAAGGAAAAUGUGAAACUGCUCUUCACAUUAUUUAUUUUGCUGUUCUGUUCUAAGUUGCAAAAUUAAAAUUUUUUUUGGAGACAGGGUCUCACUAUGUAGCUCAGGCUGGCCUCGAACUUGAAGCACUCCUUCUGCCUCAGCCUCCCGAGUGCUGGGAUUACAGACAUGUGUCACCACACGCAGCUCUUUUGAGAUUUUAACUGCCACCCUCCAAAAUGCUCUGCCUGGUGACAUUCAGACCACCACGUGAGCCCGGUAGGAAACCCAGCACUGCAACCAGGCCUGCCUCACGCAUACUUCACAUACAGAGUCACACUGGCUAUGACACGGAGGCCCCCAUGUGCCAAGGCUGCACCACCCCUCGAGUGCCCAUACAUGGACAGGAAGCACGGCCCUGGCCAUGCUCUGUGAGGUCCUGGCCACUUCGACCUCACAAUGUCCUGCAUCUAUAAGAGGCCCAGGGCUCGGCCCUGCCUCACAGCCCACGAAGUUCCACCUCCUCACAGGUAGGCUGGUUCAGCUGAGGUGGUGCCCCUGCUCUGAGCCAAUUCCAGGCCAAGUUCUCCUCGAACCACGGCCAGAUACAGAUGCUGCUGCAGCCCAAGCUGGAGCAGAUGCCACUGUAGACGCAGCGGUAGACGCAGCCAUAGACGAAGGUGGAGAUGCCAUCACAGUUGGAGACAAAGGUGCUGCCGCCGCAGGUACACCCGGAGGUGCAGAAGACGCUAACUGCAGAAGAGCAAGUCCACCGUACUCCUGGUGAAGACUUUGCCAGACCUCAAGAUCGUCUUGCCACCUCUCACACUGCCACCUUGCACUGAAACAGGAGCCUGUUAAGGAACAAUGCCGCUUGUUGAUAAAUGUUAAACUCAUCCCACUCAUGCCUUUGUCCUUGAUGGCUCGGGGAGAGGGCUGGCCUGGAGGCAGAAGGGCUUGGGGAUGUGGCACAGAAAGGAUGCUGGGAAGGGGGCCAUGAGAGUGACAAUUGUCAUAAGGGAUCCUGUCCAAAACUCAGUGACACGACAUGAGGAACACUUGCUCCCAAACUACCUACCUCUCCGACCCCUAGAGCUGGGUCAUCACAUUUGAGGGCCACUGUCCUUCCACCCUGUUCUGAGGUUGGCAGCUGGCAAUGAGCCACACAGGAAGAUGCUGUAAGGAUCAGAGGGCCAUCAGGGCUUCCUUACCCCAAGGGUAUCUGGGGGUCCCCAGAGCCAGUUAAACAUCUGCCAGUCCCCAAAGUGUCACACAAGUUUAAUUCGAAGCUGAAAUCUCGACAGUUCCUUUGGUUAUACAGGGAACAAGACAGUCACCAUUAGAAUUAUGAAUUCAAGGUUUUCCUUCAUUCAGCAG
ensembl:lncRNA